UAGGGAAUAUUGGGCAAUGGAGGCAACUCUGACCCAGCAACGCCGCGUGAAUGAUGAAGGUCUUCGGAUUGUAAAGUUCUGUGAUUGGGGACGAAGGAAAUGACGGUACCCAAAUAGCAAGCCACGGCAAACUACGUGCCAGCAGCCGCGGUAAUACGUAGGUGGCAAGCGUUGUCCGGAUUGACUGGGUGUAAAGGGAGCGUAGGCGGUCUGUCAAGUUAGGAGUGAAAUCCCAAGGCUUAACCUUGGAACUGCUUUUAAGACUGAUGGACUGGAGUGAUGGAGAGGUAAAUGGAAUUCCUAGUGUAGCGGUGGAAUGCGUAGAUAUUAGGAGGAACACCAGUGGCGAAGGCGAUUUACUGGACAUUAACUGACGCUGAGGCUCGAAAGCGUGGGGAGCAAACA
rnacentral:rRNA from 1 species